UUUUUUUUUUUUUUUUUUUUUUGAGUGGCAGAAUGUAGCAGCUUCAGAUAAAGGUCAAGAGGAGAGAAAAGUGUUGUACUGGGUCAGAUCCAGCCAAAUAUCCAAAAUAUUGUGGCUCCCCUCCGCACUUCCAUGUCAUAUAGCAUGCAUUGUGUGUGUGUGUGUACAUACAUUUAAUAUAACACGGAGGGUGGCUGAGUCCUCCAGCUGGAAGGACCUGGGACAUCCCGAGUGUCCCGUCUUCACUUGCUGCUGGGGAUGUACAGGGGUAGAUGGACCAAGGUCAGCAUCCUUCCUCCAUUCAGUGUUUCUGAAUUUGCCUUCCCAGAACUCUUCUUGGAAAGCUUCCUUGAACCGACCGUUACUCUUUUUCCUAGCCUGCAUUUGUAUCUCUUUUUAUAAACCUCAACCCGGUGCUGUGGCUGUUUGAGUAGAUGUCUCAUUCUUCCUAGGAUGCUCCAGGCUGUUUUUCAUCAACUUUGAUAUAUUUCAGCACCUACCUAGCGUGCGCCCUGGAACAGUGAAGGUGCUCACUAUGUACUGAUUGCAUUGAGUGAAAGGUGUUGAAUACAUUCUGUAUAUUCUUUCCUACUGUAGGAGUCAGGGCUUCUAAGCACUAGUGCUAAAAUUUCCAUUUUAAGGCUCCAGGGACAAUCCCCUCAUUCCUGGAAUCUGAGAGUGGGUCAGCAAAUUCAAAUUGACUGCCUGAGUCUCCUUCAUGUGCCUGUGUUUAAGUUUUAUUAUUUUGGCUUUUAGCCACUGUGUUCCCCCACCCCCUUAAAAAUGUGGUAAAAUAUAAUAACAUAAAAUUUACUGCUUUAACCAUUUUUAUGUGUACAAUUCAGCAUCGCUAGCUACAUUCAUAUUGUUAUGCAACAGUGUCCACUCUUCAUCUCCAGAAUUUUUUUUGUCUUCUCCAACUGAAACUUGGUACCCAGCUGAAUAGGAAUUCUCCUUGCAUGCGCACACGAGUGUGCGCUCAUGCGCGCGCGCGCGCGCACACACACACACACACACAAAAAGACCACACACCCAUAAAAAAGAAUGAAAUAAUGCCAUUUACAGCAUUAAAUGGCUGGACCUAGAAAUUAUCAUACUAAAUGAAGUAAGUCAGAGAAAGACAAAUACCAUAUGAUAUCACUUAUAGGUAGAAUUUAAACUAUGAUGCAAAUGAACUUAUUUACAAAACAGAAAGACUCACAGACAUAGAAAACAAACUUAUGUUUGCCAAAGGGGAAAGGGGCUAGAGGAGAUAAAUUAAGAAUUGGGGAUUAACCGAUACAAAUUGCUAUACAGAGAAAAGAUAAGUGGUAAAGUCCUACCGUAGAGCACGGGGAACUAUAUUCAAUAUCCUGCAAUAAACCAUAAUGGAAAAAAUACGAAAAAGAAUAUGUAUAUAUAACUGAAUCACUUUGCUAAACACCAGAGACUAACACAUUAUAAAUCAACUAUACUUUAAUAAAAAUACAACAUACAUACAUAAAUAAAAAUAAUGCCCCCCAACUCUCUAGUAACCACCAUUCUAUUUUUUGUCUUUAAGAAUUUAACUACUCCGGGUACCGCAUACAAUAUUUGUCCUUUUGUGACUGACUUAUUUCACUUAGCAUUAUGUUUCAAGGUUCAUCUAUGUCGUAUCAGAAUUUCAUUCAUUUAAGGCAGCUAUUGUCUUUUAAGACUCAAGAGUUCCACUCUUUCUAGGUUUUGUAGCCAGCAGUGGAUUUUUCUUUCAGAACCAUCCUUGGCCUUUUCCUGGAAUGACAUUUCCAAGGGCAAGCCCUGUUCUUCCUGGGUGGUAUUCUUCUGGGGAGCAGAGUAGCAGAGCCGAGGCAAUUAAUAUUAGAGCAACACGUGAACAUCUCCUGUGUGUCAGAGGCUCUACUUCUGACCAGUGGAUGAGGCCAAAGAUAGCUCAGUCUUUUGAAGGAGACAAUUGUAUACUCUGCUAACUAUAUCGUACUGUGUGCUAGAGCUAGAAAAGGGACCAGAAGGGAUCUUCUCAUCUGUUGAAGACUGUGAUUGAAAUUUAAGAAAGCUUCCAAGAAGAGGGGGUAUUUCAGAUGGGCCUUGAAGGAUGAAUAGGUGUUCAAGGUAGAGAAAGAAGGGAGGGCAUUCCACAAACAGCCUGAACUAAGGCGCAUGAAAACUCGGGGUUUGUUGGAAGGGUAGCAGUGGGCUGUGGAUAUGGAAAGCAGAGGGUGGCGAAUGAUGGGGGCUUAGAGGAGUUGGAACACCGUGCUGAGGAGUUCAUGGGAACAGAUCACUUGGAGGUGUCAUGCAGUGAGACUGACCCAAAUCGAUUUGUGGGUUGACUGGGUGAUGGCUAGAUCAGAGGAAGAGAGAUGGGAUUGGAAAGCAGCAUGUAUGGGGGAGAGUGGGAGGCAAUGUGGUUGCACCGUCUUUGGCAGGAGGUGGUGCGGGUGUGAGCCAGGGCAGCCAGACAAGAGUUUGUUCAUGGUCAGUAGUGUUCACUGGGUUUGUUGACGUCAGAGAUCAUGGGCCCACCCCCACCUGGCUUGCUUUCUUAAUAUUCUGAAGCUCUUAUUUCAAUUCCAGUUUUGUGUCUGUAUUUUCUAUCAGAUCUUUUGUUAGUGUAACCAAAGUGGCAAGAAGGGAUUGGUGUAUAAAGGACAACUGGACAGGUUCCUACCUUCAGGCUUUCCACUCAGUCAUGCACGUUUGGGGGUAGUUUUCCGUAGUUUUCCACGUGCUGAGUGAUGUGGUUCCAAUACAUCUUUCAUGUGGAAAGAUACGGUUGUUAAGAUUGUAUAUGAUAGACAUAGACGAGUCGGAAUAUAAUUGCGGUUAGAGCAGAUCAGCCACGCUACAUUAGGAACGCACUCUCCUCUCCCGGUGAUCUCUUGGUAGCAGAAGAACUCGCUUUCUUAAAAUGAGUAAAACACGUUGAAGAACAAAGCUGAGAAAUCCUUGGGGCAGCCAUCAGCAUGUCUCCAUGGUCCACAGAGAACUCAGCUCUGGGAGUUCCCUGGUGGCCUAGAGGUUAAGGAUCCAGCAUUGUAACUGCUGUGGCGUGGGUUCGAUUCCGGGCCUGGGAACUUCAGGCAUGCCAUGGGGUCGGCCAAAAAAAAAAAAAGAAAGAAAGAAAGAAAAAGAACUCAGCUCUUCCCAAGUGUUUUGACAGGCAGCUUAACAGAAAAAGACGUCAUUCUUGCCCAAAGGUAGUUUGUAUACUGUGUUGUAAGAUGUUUAGAAAUUACUGUGGAACAUUAGAAAAAACAGAAUUCAGUUGGCCCUCUUAACGAGUGCGCUAUAAGGAGGGCCCCACACAUUCAGAAAGGGAAACUACUACUUGGUACAAGUUAUUCAAAGAAGAGCAUCUCCAGCAGUCAUUAGUUGACGAAAAGCUGAUUGAGGAAAAAGUGCUGAAAUAUACUAAAAAUAAGAUGAGUUUCAAGGAAAAUAACCCUUUUGCUAACCUUUGCAUUAGUCAGUUCCUUUUUAGAGUAUUUUUUCCUGUUUUAGUCACCGCUUUAAAAGUGUGUAUAAAUAUAGAAGACCAAGAGGAGUAUGAUUAACAUAAUUUAAGAUGUAGGGCAUGGGUUUUAAAAGGAAAGGUUAGAGAAAUUUGGGGACUACAAUGGGCUGACUUAGUUAUCUUCAAUAUAAAAAGAGUAAGAGACUACUUAUGGGCAAGCCAAUCCUUAACCCACUGAGCGAGGCCCGGGAUCGAACCUGUGUCCUCAUGGAUACUAGUCAGAUUCAUUUCCUCUAUGCCACCACGGGAACUCCUGUGUCCUUCUUAAUGAUGAUUACACCUUGCAAAUAUUCCUUCCCCCCUCCCCCAUUCUUUUGUCUGUUUCUCUCUUACAAGGGAGGUACCAGGAGGACAGGGACUCUGUUUUGUUCUUUUCUGUUUUUCUAGCCUCAAGCACAAAGUUGGCACAUAGUAGGUACUUAAGAAUAGCUGUUGAACGAACGAACGAGUGAGGCCGCCAGGGGGAGAAGUGGGGUACCAAGGGUGAGAAAAGUGCACAAAACCGGUCAGUGGGUAAUGGACUCCUGGAAGGGAUGCUUGCCUGGGGUUCAAGAGAAGGGGGGGAGGUGAGAGUGGAAGGAAAGGGAAUUCUCAGGGCCUUUCCUCCUGUUGUUUGUUGCCUCUGCUUUAGGUAAGAGUGUGCUAAAAACAGGAGACACAGAGUGUCCUAAAAAGCACUUGGGCUCGUUCUCAGACACGCUAAGUCUGGGAAGCCGUCGACAGUGCCCUGCUGCUGCAUAAAGUUUGUUCUUUUUUUUUUUUCUAAAACAGCCAAAGGCUCUCUAAAAACCUAGUUUUCCCUGUUUGUAAGUCAUCUGGGAGAGAGAGAGAGAGAGAGAGAGAGAGAGAGAGUGUGUGUGUGUGUGUGUGUGUGUGUGUUUCAAGCAUCUGACUCCUGUAUUUACAUUCUCUGCCCCGGCCUUCAGAUUUUUUUCUGAGCGACUCCAGAUUAGAUUAUCGGUGUUGGGCUAAUGGAGCAAUUUUGCGGCAAACAGCCUCUGUGCCUUGGACUGUUUGACUCGUCUCGCCUUGUGUAACCAAAAACGUAUCUUGAUUUGGUCUGGUCUGGUCUGUCAUAGUCUGACUUAAGGACAUGAGGUCCCAGACCUUAGGAGGCCUCACUUCAAACAUUUGCCUAUUAACAGAAGGGCGAAACAAUAAAAUUAAACAAAACAAGAAAAAAUCAUCUCUUCAAAAACAAAAGUCCCACCCACACCCAAAUAAUUCACUUUACAAAGUGUCCUGGGAUGAUGGCUGUUUCCCCAGGAAAUUUUUUUUGAACCACUGGGUUCUGCUAGAAGCAUAUUCCACGGGGAACAUUAGAGGCCACAGAGACAAUUCUCACCCCCGUCAGCCCAUCACACCCUCAUCAUCUCUGUACUCGAUUCAGCCCAGAAGUCAGACUGCAGGUCAGCUUAGCUGCCUGCGUUUAAGUGCUUUAAAAAUUUUUUUAGGAGUUCCCAUUGUGGUCCAGAGGAAACGAGUCCAACUAGGAACCAUGACGUUGUGGGUUCGAGCCCUGAUCUCACUCAGUGGGUUAAGGAUCCGGAGUUACCGUAAACUGUGGUGUAGGUCACAGAUACAGCUCGGAUCUGGUGGUGGUGUGCCUGUGGCGUAAGCUGGCAGCUGUAGCUCCGACUGGACCCCUAGCCUGGAAACCUCCAUAUGCCAUGGGUGAGGCACUAAAAAGACAAAAAAAAAAAAAA
rnacentral:lncRNA from 1 species